UGCCUCAAGAUGAGAUCUCACUGGGAACUUGAUUCCCCUGAAGGGCCGUCGAAGACUACGACGUUGAUAGGCUGGGUGUGUAAGCGUUGUGAGGCGUUGAGCUAACCAGUACUAAUUGCCCGUGAGGCUUGACCAUAUAACACCCAAACA
rnacentral:rRNA from 1 species